rnacentral:rRNA from 1 species
GAUGAACGCUAGCUACAGGCUUAACACAUGCAAGUAGAGGGACCGGCGCACGGGUGAGUAACACGUAUAAAAGCUGACUAUUACUCGGGGCUAGCCUUUCGAAAGCAAGAUUCAUAACCGAUAUAAAGAAAGGGGAUGCGUUCCAUUAGGUGGUUGGUGAGGUAACGGCUCAGCAAGCAUUCGAUGGAUAGGGGUUCUGAGAGUAAGCUCCCCCACAAUUGAACUGCGACACACACCAAACUCGUACGGGAGGCAGGCGUAAGUAAAAUUGGUCCAUGAGCGCUAGCCUGAACCAGCCAAUUAGCGGGAAGGAGGAAGGCUUAUUGGUUGUAAAUUUCUUUUAUAUAAGAAUAUGUAUUAUAUGAAUAAGGAUCGGCUAACUACGUGCCAGCAGCCGCGGUAAUAC